rnacentral:rRNA from 1 species
AGAGUUUGAUCCUGGCUCAGAGCGAACGCUGGCGGCAGGCCUAACACAUGCAAGUCGAACGGACCCUUCGGGGUUAGUGGCGGACGGGUGAGUAACACGUGGGGAACGUGCCUUUAGGUUCGGAAUAGCUCCUGGAAACGGGUGGUAAUGCCGAAUGUGCCCUUCGGGGGAAAGAUUUAUCGCCUUUAGAGCGGCCCGCGUCUGAUUAGCUUGUUGGUGAGGUAAUGGCUCACCAAGGCGACGAUCAGUAGCUGGUCUGAGAGGAUGACCAGCCACAUUGGGACUGAGACACGGCCCAAACUCCUACGGGAGGCAGCAGUGGGGAAUCUUGCGCAAUGGGCGAAAGCCUGACGCAGCCAUGCCGCGUGUAUGAUGAAGGUCUUAGGAUUGUAAAAUACUUUCACCGGUGAAGAUAAUGACUGUAGCCGGAGAAGAAGCCCCGGCUAACUUCGUGCCAGCAGCCGCGGUAAUACGAAGGGGGCUAGCGUUGCUCGGAAUUACUGGGCGUAAAGGGAGCGUAGGCGGACAUUUAAGUCAGAGGUGAAAUCCCGGAGCUUAACUUCGGAACUGCCUUUGAUACUGGGUGUCUUGAGUGUGAGAGAGGUAUGUGGAACUCCGAGUGUAGAGGUGAAAUUCGUAGAUAUUCGGAAGAACACCAGUGGCGAAGGCGACAUACUGGCUCAUUACUGACGCUGAGGCUCGAAAGCGUGGGGAGCAAACAGGAUUAGAUACCCUAGUAGUCC